CCUANGGGAGGCUGCAGUGAGGAAUCUUGCGCAAUGGGGGCAACCCUGACGCAGCAACGCCGCGUGAGUGAUGAAGGCCUUCGGGUCGUAAAGCUCUGUCAGAUGGGAAGAAAAUUUCGGGCGUGAAUAAUACUCGGAAUCGACGGUACCGUCAAAGGAAGCACCGGCUAACUCCGUGCCAGCAGCCGCGGUAAUACGGAGGGUGCAAGCGUUGUUCGGAAUCAUUGGGCGUAAAGAGCGUGUAGGCGGCCGGGUAAGUCAGAUGUGAAAUCCCUUGGCUUAACCAAGGAAGUGCAUUUGAAACUGCUCGGCUUGAGUACGGGAGGGGGAAGUGGAAUUCCCGGUGUAGAGGUGAAAUUCGUAGAUAUCGGGAGGAACACCGGUGGCGAAGGCGGCUUCCUGGACCGAUACUGACGCUGAGACGCGAAAGCGUGGGGAGCAAACAGGAUUAGAUACCCUANUANUC
rnacentral:rRNA from 1 species